ensembl:snRNA U2 U2 spliceosomal RNA
AUCGCUUCUCGGCCUUUUGGCUAAGAUCAAGUGUAGUAUCAGUUUAAUAUCAAGUAAAUAAAAUAAAUCUUUAAAAAAAAACAAGAAACUGCAACUGUCU